UAAAAGUCGUANCAAGGUUUCCGUAGGUGAACCUGCGGAAGGAUCAUU
rnacentral:rRNA from 1 species